rnacentral:rRNA from 1 species
AUACGGAGGGGGCUAGCGUUGUUCGGAAUUACUGGGCGUAAAGCGCGCGUAGGCGGACCAGUCAGUCAGGGGUGAAAUCCCGGGGCUCAACCCCGGAACUGCCUUUGAUACUGCUGGUCUUGAGUUCGAGAGAGGUGAGUGGAAUUCCGAGUGUAGAGGUGAAAUUCGUAGAUAUUCGGAGGAACACCAGUGGCGAAGGCGGCUCACUGGCUCGGUACUGACGCUGAGGUGCGAAAGCGUGGGGAGCAAACAGGAUUAGAAACCCCAGUAGUCC